UCGCACUGUUUUUUGCAGCGAAUGCUGACGGAACUACAGCCUCCAACGCUCGGGGUCGCGGGUUCGAAUCCCGCCGGUCGAA
rnacentral:tRNA from 1 species